UGGUGCAUGGUUGUCGUCAGCUCGUGUCGUGAGAUGUUGGGUUAAGUCCCGCAACGAGCGCAACCCUUGUCUUUAGUUGCCAUCAUUAAGUUGGGCACUCUAGAGAGACUGCCAGGGAUAACCUGGAGGAAGGUGGGGAUGACGUCAAAUCAUCAUGCCCCUUAUGCUUAGGGCUACACACGUGCUACAAUGGGUAGUACAGAGGGUUGCCAAGCCGUAAGGUGGAGCUAAUCCCUUAAAGCUACUCUCAGUUCGGAUUGUAGGCUGAAACUCGCCUACAUGAAGCUGGAGUUACUAGUAAUCGCAGAUCAGAAUGCUGCGGUGAAUGCGUUCCCGGGUCUUGUACACACCGCCCGUCACACCACGGGAGUUGGAGACGCCCGAAGCCGAUUAUCUAACCUUUUGGAAGAAGUCGUCGAAGGUGGAAUCAAUAACUGGGGUGAAGUCGUAACAAGGUAGCCGUAUC
rnacentral:rRNA from 1 species